rnacentral:rRNA from 1 species
UACACAAAAAUGCACAUACUGUGAGCUCGAUGAGUAGGGCGGGACACGUGGUAUCCUGUCUGAAUAUGGGGGGACCAUCCUCCAAGGCUAAAUACUCCUGACUGACCGAUAGUGAACCAGUACCGUGAGGGAAAGGCGAAAAGAACCCCGGCGAGGGGAGUGAAAAAGAACCUGAAACCGUGUACGUACAAGCAGUGGGAGCCUCUUAAUGGGGUGACUGCGUACCUUUUGUAUAAUGGGUCAGCGACUUAUAUUCUGUAGCAAGGUUAACCGAAUAGGGGAGCCGAAGGGAAACCGAGUCUUAACUGGGCGCUAAGUUGCAGGGUAUAGACCCGAAACCCGGUGAUCUAGCCAUGGGCAGGUUGAAGGUUGGGUAACACUAACUGGAGGACCGAACCGACUAAUGUUGAAAAAUUAGCGGAUGACUUGUGGCUGGGGGUGAAAGGCCAAUCAAACCGGGAGAUAGCUGGUUCUCCCCGAAAGCUAUUUAGGUAGCGCCUCGUGAAUUCAUCUCCGGGGGUAGAGCACUGUUUCGGCAAGGGGGUCAUCCCGACUUACCAACCCGAUGCAAACUGCGAAUACCGGAGAAUGUUAUCACGGGAGACACACGGCGGGUGCUAACGUCCGUCGUGAAGAGGGAAACAACCCAGACCGCCAGCUAAGGUCCCAAAGUCAUGGUUAAGUGGGAAACGAUGUGGGAAGGCCCAGACAGCCAGGAUGUUGGCUUAGAAGCAGCCAUCAUUUAAAGAAAGCGUAAUAGCUCACUGGUCGAGUCGGCCUGCGCGGAAGAUGUAACGGGGCUAAACCAUGCACCGAAGCUGCGGCAGCGACACUAUGUGUUGUUGGGUAGGGGAGCGUUCUGUAAGCCUGUGAAGGUGGCCUGUGAGGGUUGCUGGAGGUAUCAGAAGUGCGAAUGCUGACAUAAGUAACGAUAAAGCGGGUGAAAAGCCCGCUCGCCGGAAGACCAAGGGUUCCUGUCCAACGUUAAUCGGGGCAGGGUGAGUCGACCCCUAAGGCGAGGCCGAAAGGCGUAGUCGAUGGGAAACAGGUUAAUAUUCCUGUACUUGGUGUUACUGCGAAGGGGGGACGGAGAAGGCUAUGUUGGCCGGGCGACGGUUGUCCCGGUUUAAGCGUGUAGGCUGGUUUUCCAGGCAAAUCCGGAAAACCAAGGCUGAGGCGUGAUGACGAGGCACUACGGUGCUGAAGCGACAAAUGCCCUGCUUCCAGGAAAAGCCUCUAAGCAUCAGGUAACAUCAAAUCGUACCCCAAACCGACACAGGUGGUCAGGUAGAGAAUACCAAGGCGCUUGAGAGAACUCGGGUGAAGGAACUAGGCAAAAUGGUGCCGUAACUUCGGGAGAAGGCACGCUGAUAUGUAGGUGAAGCGACUUGCUCGUGGAGCUGAAAUCAGUCGAAGAUACCAGCUGGCUGCAACUGUUUAUUAAAAACACAGCACUGUGCAAACACGAAAGUGGACGUAUACGGUGUGACGCCUGCCCGGUGCCGGAAGGUUAAUUGAUGGGGUUAGCGGUAACGCGAAGCUCUUGAUCGAAGCCCCGGUAAACGGCGGCCGUAACUAUAACGGUCCUAAGGUAGCGAAAUUCCUUGUCGGGUAAGUUCCGACCUGCACGAAUGGCGUAAUGAUGGCCAGGCUGUCUCCACCCGAGACUCAGUGAAAUUGAACUCGCUGUGAAGAUGCAGUGUACCCGCGGCAAGACGGAAAGACCCCGUGAACCUUUACUAUAGCUUGACACUGAACAUUGAGCCUUGAUGUGUAGGAUAGGUGGGAGGCUUUGAAGUGUGGACGCCAGUCUGCAUGGAGCCGACCUUGAAAUACCACCCUUUAAUGUUUGAUGUUCUAACGUUGGCCCGUAAUCCGGGUUGCGGACAGUGUCUGGUGGGUAGUUUGACUGGGGCGGUCUCCUCCUAAAGAGUAACGGAGGAGCACGAAGGUUGGCUAAUCCUGGUCGGACAUCAGGAGGUUAGUGCAAUGGCAUAAGCCAGCUUGACUGCGAGCGUGACGGCGCGAGCAGGUGCGAAAGCAGGUCAUAGUGAUCCGGUGGUUCUGAAUGGAAGGGCCAUCGCUCAACGGAUAAAAGGUACUCCGGGGAUAACAGGCUGAUACCGCCCAAGAGUUCAUAUCGACGGCGGUGUUUGGCACCUCGAUGUCGGCUCAUCACAUCCUGGGGCUGAAGUAGGUCACAAGGGUAUGGCUGUUCGCCAUUUAAAGUGGUACGCGAGCUGGGUUUAGAACGUCGUGAGACAGUUCGGUCCCUAUCUGCCGUGGGCGCUGGAGAACUGAGGGGGGCUGCUCCUAGUACGAGAGGACCGGAGUGGACGCAUCACUGGUGUUCGGGUUGUCAUGCCAAUGGCACUGCCCGGUAGCUAAAUGCGGAAGAGAUAAGUGCUGAAAGCAUCUAAGCACGAAACUUGCCCCGAGAUGAGUUCUCCCUGAGACUUAGAGUCUCCUGAAGGAACGUUGAAGACGACGACGUUGAUAGGCCGGGUGUGUAAGCGCAGCGAUGCGUUGAGCUAACCGGUACUAAUGAACCGUGAGGCUUAACCUU